rnacentral:tRNA from 1 species
GCAUUGGUGGUUCAGUGGUAGAAUUCUCUCCUUCCAUGCAAGAGACCUAGGCUUGAUUUCCAGCCAAUGCA